CCGGCGAUUUCCGAAUGGGGAAACCCAGUGUGUUUCGACACACUAUCAUUAACUGAAUCCAUAGGUUAAUGAGGCGAACCGGGGGAACUGAAACAUCUAAGUACCCCGAGGAAAAGAAAUCAACCGAGAUUCCCCCAGUAGCGGCGAGCGAACGGGGAGGAGCCCAGAGUCUGAAUCAGUGUGUGUGUUAGUGGAAGCGUCUGGAAAGGCGUGCGAUACAGGGUGACAGCCCCGUACACAAAAAUGCACAUAUUGUGAGCUCGAUGAGUAGGGCGGGACACGUGGUAUCCUGUCUGAAUAUGGGGGGACCAUCCUCCAAGGCUAAAUACUCCUGACUGACCGAUAGUGAACCAGUACCGUGAGGGAAAGGCGAAAAGAACCCCGGCGAGGGGAGUGAAAAAGAACCUGAAACCGUGUACGUACAAGCAGUGGGAGCCUCUUAAUGGGGUGACUGCGUACCUUUUGUAUAAUGGGUCAGCGACUUAUAUUCUGUAGCAAGGUUAACCGAAUAGGGGAGCCGAAGGGAAACCGAGUCUUAACUGGGCGUUAAGUUGCAGGGUAUAGACCCGAAACCCGGUGAUCUAGCCAUGGGCAGGUUGAAGGUUGGGUAACACUAACUGGAGGACCGAACCGACUAAUGUUGAAAAAUUAGCGGAUGACUUGUGGCUGGGGGUGAAAGGCCAAUCAAACCGGGAGAUAGCUGGUUCUCCCCGAAAGCUAUUUAGGUAGCGCCUCGUGAAUUCAUCUCCGGGGGUAGAGCACUGUUUCGGCAAGGGGGUCAUCCCGACUUACCAACCCGAUGCAAACUGCGAAUACCGGAGAAUGUUAUCACGGGAGACACACGGCGGGUGCUAACGUCCGUCGUGAAGAGGGAAACAACCCAGACCGCCAGCUAAGGUCCCAAAGUCAUGGUUAAGUGGGAAACGAUGUGGGAAGGCCCAGACAGCCAGGAUGUUGGCUUAGAAGCAGCCAUCAUUUAAAGAAAGCGUAAUAGCUCACUGGUCGAGUCGGCCUGCGCGGAAGAUGUAACGGGGCUAAACCAUGCACCGAAGCUGCGGCAGCGACACUAUGUGUUGUUGGGUAGGGGAGCGUUCUGUAAGCCUGUGAAGGUGGCCUGUGAGGGUUGCUGGAGGUAUCAGAAGUGCGAAUGCUGACAUAAGUAACGAUAAAGCGGGUGAAAAGCCCGCUCGCCGGAAGACCAAGGGUUCCUGUCCAACGUUAAUCGGGGCAGGGUGAGUCGACCCCUAAGGCGAGGCCGAAAGGCGUAGUCGAUGGGAAACAGGUUAAUAUUCCUGUACUUGGUGUUACUGCGAAGGGGGGACGGAGAAGGCUAUGUUGGCCGGGCGACGGUUGUCCCGGUUUAAGCGUGUAGGCUGGU
rnacentral:rRNA from 1 species